rnacentral:rRNA from 1 species
AUUCGCGGCCUAUCAGCUUGUUGGUGGGGUGAUGGCCUACCAAGGCGACGACGGGUAGCCGGCCUGAGAGGGUGACCGGCCACACUGGGACUGAGACACGGCCCAGACUCCUACGGGAGGCAGCAGUGGGGAAUAUUGCGCAAUGGGCGGAAGCCUGACGCAGCGACGCCGCGUGAGGGAUGACGGCCUUCGGGUUGUAAACCUCUUUCAGCAGGGACGAAGCGGAAGUGACGGUACCUGCAGAAGAAGCACCGGCCAACUACGUGCCAGCAGCCGCGGUAAUACGUAGGGUGCAAGCGUUGUCCGGAAUUAUUGGGCGUAAAGAGCUCGUAGGCGGUUUGUCGCGUCGGCUGUGAAAGCCCGGAGCUCAACUCCGGGUCUGCAGUCGAUACGGGCAGACUUGAGUGUUGCAGGGGAGACUGGAAUUCCUGGUGUAGCGGUGAAAUGCGCAGAUAUCAGGAGGAACACCGGUGGCGAAGGCGGGUCUCUGGGCAACAACUGACGCUGAGGAGCGAAAGCGUGGGGAGCGAACAGGAUUAGAUACCCUGGUAGUCCACGCCGUAAACGUUGGGCGCUAGGUGUGGGGGCCAUUCCACGGUCUCCGUGCCGCAGCUAACGCAUUAAGCGCCCCGCCUGGGGAGUACGGAAU